UUAAGCGACUAAGCGUACACGGUGGAUGCCCUGGCAGUCAGAGGCGAUGAAGGACGUGCUAAUCUGCGAAAAGCGUCGGUAAGGUGAUAUGAACCGUUAUAACCGGCGAUGUCCGAAUGGGGAAACCCAGUGCAAUUCGUUGCACUAUCGUUAACUGAAUACAUAGGUUAACGAGGCGAACCGGGGGAACUGAAACAUCUAAGUACCCCGAGGAAAAGAAAUCAACCGAGAUUCCCCCAGUAGCGGCGAGCGAACGGGGAGCAGCCCAGAGUCUGAAUCAGCUUGUGUGUUAGUGGAACGGUCUGGAAAGUCCGACGGUACAGGGUGAUAGUCCCGUACACCAAAAUGCACAGGCUGUGAACUCGAAGAGUAGGGCGGGACACGUGGUAUCCUGUCUGAAUAUGGGGGGACCAUCCUCCAAGGCUAAAUACUCCUGACUGACCGAUAGUGAACCAGUACCGUGAGGGAAAGGCGAAAAGAACCCCGGCGAGGGGAGUGAAAAAGAACCUGAAACCGUGUACGUACAAGCAGUGGGAGCACCUUCGGGUGUGACUGCGUACCUUUUGUAUAAUGGGUCAGCGACUUAUAUUCUGUAGCAAGGUUAACCGUAUAGGGGAGCCGCAGGGAAACCGAGUCUUAACUGGGCGUUAAGUUGCAGGGUAUAGACCCGAAACCCGGUGAUCUAGCCAUGGGCAGGUUGAAGGUUGGGUAACACUAACUGGAGGACCGAACCGACUAAUGUUGAAAAAUUAGCGGAUGACUUGUGGCUGGGGGUGAAAGGCCAAUCAAACCGGGAGAUAGCUGGUUCUCCCCGAAAGCUAUUUAGGUAGCGCCUCGUGAAUUCAUCUUCGGGGGUAGAGCACUGUUUCGGCUAGGGGGUCAUCCCGACUUACCAACCCGAUGCAAACUACGAAUACCGAAGAAUGUUAUCACGGGAGACACACGGCGGGUGCUAACGUCCGUCGUGAAGAGGGAAACAACCCAGACCGCCAGCUAAGGUCCCAAAGUCAUGGUUAAGUGGGAAACGAUGUGGGAAGGCACAGACAGCCAGGAUGUUGGCUUAGAAGCAGCCAUCAUUUAAAGAAAGCGUAAUAGCUCACUGGUCGAGUCGGCCUGCGCGGAAGAUGUAACGGGGCUAAACCAUGCACCGAAGCUGCGGCAGCGACACUAUGUGUUGUUGGGUAGGGGAGCGUUCUGUAAGCCUGCGAAGGUGUGCUGUGAGGCAUGCUGGAGGUAUCAGAAGUGCGAAUGCUGACAUAAGUAACGAUAAAGCGGGUGAAAAGCCCGCUCGCCGGAAGACCAAGGGUUCCUGUCCAACGUUAAUCGGGGCAGGGUGAGUCGACCCCUAAGGCGAGGCCGAAAGGCGUAGUCGAUGGGAAACAGGUUAAUAUUCCUGUACUUGGUGUUACUGCGAAGGGGGGACGGAGAAGGCUAUGUUAGCCGGGCGACGGUUGUCCCGGUUUAAGCAUGUAGGCUGGUUGUCCAGGCAAAUCCGGAUAAUCAAGGCUGAGGUGUGAUGACGAGGCACUACGGUGCUGAAGUAACAAAUGCCCUGCUUCCAGGAAAAGCCUCUAAGCAUCAGGUAACAUCAAAUCGUACCCCAAACCGACACAGGUGGUCAGGUAGAGAAUACCAAGGCGCUUGAGAGAACUCGGGUGAAGGAACUAGGCAAAAUGGUGCCGUAACUUCGGGAGAAGGCACGCUGGUGUGUAGGUGAAGUCCCUGCGGAUGGAGCUGAGACCAGUCGAAGAUACCAGCUGGCUGCAACUGUUUAUUAAAAACACAGCACUGUGCAAACACGAAAGUGGACGUAUACGGUGUGACGCCUGCCCGGUGCCGGAAGGUUAAUUGAUGGGGUUAUCCGUAAGGAGAAGCUCUUGAUCGAAGCCCCGGUAAACGGCGGCCGUAACUAUAACGGUCCUAAGGUAGCGAAAUUCCUUGUCGGGUAAGUUCCGACCUGCACGAAUGGCGUAAUGAUGGCCAGGCUGUCUCCACCCGAGACUCAGUGAAAUUGAACUCGCUGUGAAGAUGCAGUGUACCCGCGGCAAGACGGAAAGACCCCGUGAACCUUUACUAUAGCUUGACACUGAACAUUGAGCCUUGAUGUGUAGGAUAGGUGGGAGGCUUUGAAGCGUGGACGCCAGUCUGCGUGGAGCCAACCUUGAAAUACCACCCUUUAAUGUUUGAUGUUCUAACGUUGGCCCCUUACCGGGGUUGCGGACAGUGUCUGGUGGGUAGUUUGACUGGGGCGGUCUCCUCCCAAAGCGUAACGGAGGAGCACGAAGGUUAGCUAAUCCUGGUCGGACAUCAGGAGGUUAGUGCAAUGGCAUAAGCUAGCUUGACUGCGAGCGUGACGGCGCGAGCAGGUGCGAAAGCAGGUCAUAGUGAUCCGGUGGUUCUGAAUGGAAGGGCCAUCGCUCAACGGAUAAAAGGUACUCCGGGGAUAACAGGCUGAUACCGCCCAAGAGUUCAUAUCGACGGCGGUGUUUGGCACCUCGAUGUCGGCUCAUCACAUCCUGGGGCUGAAGUAGGUCCCAAGGGUAUGGCUGUUCGCCAUUUAAAGUGGUACGCGAGCUGGGUUUAGAACGUCGUGAGACAGUUCGGUCCCUAUCUGCCGUGGGCGCUGGAGAAUUGAGGGGGGCUGCUCCUAGUACGAGAGGACCGGAGUGGACGCAUCACUGGUGUUCGGGUUGUCAUGCCAAUGGCACUGCCCGGUAGCUAAAUGCGGAAGAGAUAAGUGCUGAAAGCAUCUAAGCACGAAACUUGCCCCGAGAUGAGUUCUCCCUGAGACUUUAAGUCUCCUGAAGGAACGUUGAAGACGACGACGUUGAUAGGCCGGGUGUGUAAGCGCAGCGAUGCGUUGAGCUAACCGGUACUAAUGAACCGUGAGGCUUAACCUU
rnacentral:rRNA from 3 species